AAUUUUCACUAUAUUUAACACAAGCAAUAACAAACUUUUCAAGUCAAAAUAACUUUCAUUCAUUACGAUAAAUAACAACGUCAAUUAUACAACACCGAGUUGAAUGUAUUUCUCAUACAUAUUCCAUCCUAAGUACAUUGGAUCCGAAGUACAAUGAAAAACACUGCUAAAAGACAUCAUGGAUUUGUCAUCCAUAUUGUAACUACAAUUAUGUUCAUUAGACAAAUAACACUAACCACCCCUAUCAACACCUUAAUUUUUUUUUCCAAUAUCUUAACUGAUUUCUCCAAAUCACUUAUAAUCUUCCAUCUACCUUCCAUUUAUUCUCUAUGGACGAAAGAGUCAGCCUUUCCUUCACACUUCCAUCCCUUUCCUCAAUCCCAUCAUCAGUAGACCAUUUGAAGUAAUAACAACCACCAUCUUCAUUACCAUUCUGUGACAAAAAAAACACCAAUUACAUCCAACAAU
rnacentral:lncRNA from 1 species